rnacentral:rRNA from 1 species
CAGCAGCCACGGUAAUACGUAGGGUGCGAGCGUUAAUCGGAAUUACUGGGCGUAAAGCGUGCGCAGGCGGUUUUGUAAGACAGGCGUGAAAUCCCCGGGCUCAACCUGGGAAUGGCGCUUGUGACUGCAAAGCUAGAGUGCGGCAGAGGGGGAUGGAAUUCCGCGUGUAGCAGUGAGAUGCGUAGAUAUGCUGAGGAACACCGAUGGCGAAGGCAAUCCUCUGGGCCUGCACUGACGCUCAUGCACGAAAGCGUGGGGAGCAAACAGGAUUAGAGACCCCAGUAGUCCCUGUCUCUUAUAC